GGCACCUUUCUUGGCUGAUCCCUUUCGCUUUAUGGCGUGCUUGUUUGGGUUAGGCAUCGGCUAAGGGUGCUCAGAGCGCGGAUUAACUCCAGUCUGCUAUCAGGUAAUUUCCAGCCUUAGAUAGAUUGGAGCUGCGAGGGGCUCGGAGAAAGCCACAAGCACUGUUUAUGUUACAGUUUUGAUUAUUACUUUCAAAUGUUUUUAUAUGGGUUGUAGUAAAGCCAUUGUAAUUUUUUGGAUUUCAAA